GACGAACGCUGGCGGCGUGCUUAACACAUGCAAGUCGUGCGGUAAGGCCCUUUCGGGGGGGCACGAGCGGCGAACGGGUGAGUAACACGUGAGCAACCUGCCCUUCCCUUUGGUAUAACUGCCUGCAACGGUGGCUAAUACCUGACAUGAAUUCCCUCCGCAUGUGUGGUGGUGGAAGGCCAUCGGGUGGUGGGGGAUGGGCUCGCGGUCUAUCAGCUUGUUGGUGGGGUGUUGGCCUACCAAGGCUUCGACGGGUAGCCGGCCUGAGAGGGUGACCGGCCACACUGGGACUGAGAGACGGCCCAGACUCCUACGGGAGGCAGCAGUGGGGAAUAUUGCACAAUGGGCGAAAGCCUGAUCCAGCAACGCCGCGUGAGGGAUGACGGCCUUCGGGUUGUAAACCUCUUUCGCCUGCGACGAAGCGAGAGUGACGGUAGCAGGUAAAGAAGCACCGGCCAACUACGUG
rnacentral:rRNA from 1 species